rnacentral:lncRNA from 1 species
UCGUGUCAGAAUAAGAUAUAAAAAUACGAAAAAAAUAAAAAAAAUUUUUGGGUGCUGGCCUAUCAAUGGCUGGCACCCAGUACACAAUAAAUUUUUUUUGUGUGUUAGAAUCAGAUAUAAAAAUACGAAAAAAAUAAAAAAAAUUUCUAUUUCCUCCUAUUUACUAUUACAAAAUUAAAAUCCCCCAAGUCCUAUAUAUUUUUUGUAAAUUUAGAAUUUAGUUUGUAUAUU